UGGGGAAUAUUGCACAAUGGAGGGAACUCUGAUGCAGCGACGCCGCGUGAACGAAGAAGGCUUUCGAGUCGUAAAGUUCUGUUGUUAAGGAAGAACGAGUGUGAGAAUGGAAAGUUCAUACUGUGACGGUACUUAACCAGAAAGGGACGGCUAACUACGUGCCAGCAGCCGCGGUAAUACGUAGGUCCCGAGCGUUGUCCGGAUUUAUUGGGCGUAAAGCGAGCGCAGGCGGUUAGAUAAGUCUGAAGUUAAAGGCAGUGGCUCAACCAUUGUAGGCUUUGGAAACUGUUUAACUUGAGUGCAGAAGGGGAGAGUGGAAUUCCAUGUGUAGCGGUGAAAUGCGUAGAUAUAUGGAGGAACACCGGUGGCGAAAGCGGCUCUCUGGUCUGUAACUGACGCGGAGGCUCGAAAGCGUGGGGAGCGAACAGG
rnacentral:rRNA from 1 species